UACGAAGGGUGCAAGCGUUAAUCGGAAUUACUGGGCGUAAAGGGUGCGUAGGCGGUUCGUUAAGUCUGUCGUGAAAUCCCCGGGCUCAACCUGGGAAUGGCGAUGGAUACUGGCGAGCUAGAGUGUGUCAGAGGAUGGUGGAAUUCCCGGUGUAGAGGUGAAAUUCGUAGAUAUCGGGAGGAACACCAGUGGCGAAGGCGGCGAUCUGGGAAGAUACUGACGCUGAGGUGCGAAAGCGUGGGGAGCAAACAGG
rnacentral:rRNA from 1 species